GGGGGCUUAGUUCAAUGGGAGAAUAAGUUCAAAAUCACUUAAAUAAAUUUAUGUGAUAAUUAAAAGAGCUAGGUUCGAUUCCUAGAGUCCCCA
rfam:Trichomonas vaginalis G3, whole genome shotgun sequence.